rnacentral:tRNA from 1 species
ACACUGGUAGUUCAGUGGUAGGAUUUUCACCUUCCAUGCAGGAGGCCUGGGUUCGAUUCCCAGCCAAUACG